rnacentral:rRNA from 1 species
CCUACGGGUGGCAGCAGUGAGGAAUAUUGGUCAAUGGACGGAAGCCUGAACCAGCCAUGCCGCGUGCAGGAAGACGGCUCUAUGAGUUGUAAACUUCUUUUGUACAAGGGUAAACCUGAAUACGUGUAUUCAGCUGAGAGUACUGGACGAAUAAGGAUCGGCUAACUCCGUGCCAGCAGCCGCGGUAAUACGGAGGAUGCAAGCGUUAUCCGGAUUUAUUGGGUUUAAAGGGUGCGUAGGCGGAUUGAUAAGUUAGAGGUUAAAUGUCCGAGCUUAACUCGGGAACUGCCUUUAAUACUGUUUAUCUAGAGAGUAGAUGAGGUAGGCGGAAUGUAUGGUGUAGCGGUGAAAUGCUUAGAGAUCAUACAGAACACCGAUUGCGAAGGCAGCUUACCAAUCUAUAUCUGACGUUGAGGCACGAAAGCGUGGGGAUCAAACAGGAUUAGAUACCCUUGUAGUC